UGGGGAAUAUUGCGCAAUGGGCGAAAGCCUGACGCAGCGACGCCGCGUGAGGGAUGAAGGUCUUCGGAUCGUAAACCUCUGUCAGCAGGGAAGAAAGUUAUAUGUGCUAAUCAGCGUGUAAUUGACGGUACCUGCAAAGGAAGCACCGGCUAACUCCGUGCCAGCAGCCGCGGUAAUACGGAGGGUGCGAGCGUUAAUCGGAAUUACUGGGCGUAAAGCGCUCGUAGGUAGUAUAUCAAGUCAAGGGUGAAAUCCCCCGCGCUUAACGUGGGAACUGCCUUUGAAACUGGUAGACUUGAGUGUGUGAGAGGAUAGUGGAAUUCCAGGUGUAGGAGUGAAAUCCGUAGAUAUCUGGAGGAACAUCAGUGGCGAAGGCGACUAUCUGGCACAUAACUGACACUGAGGAGCGAAGCGUGGGUAGCAAACAGGAUUAGAUACCC
rnacentral:rRNA from 1 species